rfam:Gossypium hirsutum cultivar TM-1 chromosome 16, whole genome shotgun sequence
AAUUCGUGGUGUGGGCAUUUUUGAAUCAAUAUUUUGAAAUGUUCCCACACCUCAGAGAAACUUUCUCCCUCAAUCUGUCUAAUGAUAGUAAUAUCUCUUUUUAGGUU